UGAAAGUUUAAAGGGCCGCGGUACUCUGACCGUGCAAAGGUAGCAUAAUCAUUAGUUUUUUAAUUGGAAUCUAGUAUGAAUGGUUGGACAAAAAAAAAGCUGUCUUUAUUUUAUUUAUUGAAUUUAACUUUUAAGUGAAAAGGCUUAAUUGAGUUUAAGGGACGAUAAGACCCUAUAAAACUUAAUAAAGAAUUGUUGUUAAAUAUAAUUUGUUUAUAAUUAUCUAGCAGCGAAAUUUAUUAUGUUGGGGCGACAGUAAUAAAAUUAUUAUUAACUAUUAAUAUUUAAAAACAAAAAUAAGUGAUAAUUGGAGGAUCCUUUAUAAAGAUUAUAAGUUUAAGUUACUUUAGGGAUAACAGCGUAAUUUUUUUUAAGAGCACUUAUCAAAAAAAAAGUUUGCGACCUCGAUGUUGAAUUAAAAUUUCUUUAUAGUUGCAGCAGCUAUAAAAGAAGGUCUGUUCGACCUUUAAAAUUUUA
rnacentral:rRNA from 1 species